rnacentral:rRNA from 1 species
AUCUUUAGUUACCAGCACUUCGGGUGGGGACUCUAGAGAUACUGCCCCGGUCAACGGGGAGAAGGUGGGGAUGACGUCAAGUCCUCAUGGCCUUUAUGCCUAGGGCUACACACGUGCGUACAAUGGGCGGUACAAAGGGUCGCGAUCCCGCGAGGGGGAGCCAAUCCCAAAAAGCCGUCCCAAGUUCGGAUUGGAGUCUGCAACUCGACUCCAUGAAGCUGGAAUCGCUAGUAAUCGCGGAUCAGCAUGCCGCGGUGAAUACGUUCCCGGGCCUU